rnacentral:rRNA from 1 species
CCCUUAGAUGUUCUGGGCCGCACGCGCGCUACACUGAUGAACGCAACGAGACGACCUGUACCGAAAGGCAUGGGUAAACUUGUGAAAGUUCAUCGUGAUGGGGAUAGAUUAUUGCAAUUAUUAAUCUUCAACGAGGAAUUCCUAGUAAGCGCGAGUCAUCAGCUCGCGUUGAUUACGUCCCUGCCCUUUGUACACACCGCCCGUCGCUCCUACCGAUUGAAUGUUCCGGUGAGCUCUUCGGACUGCGCGGUCUGCAGUUUCUGCGUUCCGUGCGGAAAGUUGCGCAAACCUUAACAUUUAGAGGAAGGAGAAGUCGUAACA